AUGAAGACAAAGCCAUUUUCAAACAUUCGAUUGGCGAAAUCUGCACGCUUAGCUAACACUUUCAUUUUCAGAGCUGCCGGUGGCUGUAUGCAGGUCCAGAAAAUCGACUGUGUUUCCUGGUGGAUUCCACCCAGGGAAGAGAGCCCUGGGAAUGCCCAGACACGUUUGUUGGAAGGAAUGGAUGAGUGGCUAACAGGCGAGCCCCCAGGAUGCAAACGCAUUUACCAAUUCACUGGCAGAAACCUUAGCUGCCUCUUCUGGAAGCCACCAUUCGGCCCAGCCGGGACAGAAAAAGAGCCACUCUCCAUUGUACUGGCCAGGAGGUGUGCAAAUGCAGUUGUGCAGAUGCUUACCGCUGCUGUAAUCCAGCAUGUCCACACCGUAACCAUCAGACCUGGCUGGGUUGGGGCCCUGUCAGAGAGACAGGGAAGCGUCAGAUAGGGAAGGCUGGGAAGAAGGAUGCAGCGGGAGGCCCCCCACAGCCGAGGCUGAAAGGCAUCAUGGACGCUUUGGGCUACCACUUCCAAUGUUUUGCCUAAUGUUUAGGGUAUUCAUGGGGUUUGUGCAAGUGUGUCCACAGGCCCCUGUAGCCAGAACAUGGGACUAGGCUUUCUGAAGACCGUGCAUUCCGGCGCUGACUUUUCCUAUCAAUGGGAGAGACGUGGGCUAUUGACCUAGCGGCCUUCUCUUCUCCAUCUAUUGUCGCGGCUCAAUCACGCACUUACCAGAAGAAAAGCGAGUUUAUCUUAGCCUGGAGGAGCCUCAGGUUGCGUGUGUGUGACUAAAGGGUGGGGGAAGUUCUGCAGCCACGACUCUGCAGAUGGGUUGAGGAUAGACACUUUCAGAAAAGGGCCAAUUUCCCCUUCACAAUGAGCGCUAAGUACGUGAUAAAUGGGGCUGGUGUUUAUUCAUGAGCAGGUACUUGGGAGAUGGCGAUUAGAACGGCCGCCCGCGCCGCCUCGCCAAGGUACUUAAAGCCGGGCAGGUGCAGCGCUGCGCGCAGCCCGAGCGCACAAAGCCCGCGGCCACAGCGGCGUGGGGAGGGGCGUGAGUGCGGGCCGCGCGGGGCCCUGAGGGCGCGCGGCGCGCAGGCACCUUAGCCCUUUGUUCCUCCACCGAAGCCAAGGCCACUUCACCGAGGGGCGUCCCGGAAAACCUCCCCUCUAAUUACAAAGAAUUCCGCUUCGUCCCUCCUCCCAGAGUCCAGCCGGGCAACUCAUGGCCCGGAGGACGCGGGGACUCAGCGUGAGACCAGGCUGGGCAUUUGCGUAAAUGCCGCCUGUAAGCUGGCUCUUAGCUACCCAACUAAGUAACGCAACAACUAGGAAAGCAGCAGAACCCGGGCCUGGGAACAGCGCGGGCACGCGGCUCUAGCCGCCCCCGCCGCCGAGGCGCCACCUCUGGCCGUGCGGGUAACCUCGGGCUUUCAGGUUUUGUUUCA
rnacentral:lncRNA from 1 species